GGCUGAAAUUCGCCUUCAUGAAGCCGGAAUUGCUAGUAAUGGCAGGUCAGCAUACUGCCGUGAAUACGUUCCCGGGCCCUUGUACACACCGCCCGUCACACCAUGAGAGUUGGGGAUACCCGAAGCCUGUGAGCUAACAGUAAUGGAGCAGCAGUCGAAGGUAGAAUCAAUGAUUGGGGUGAAGUCGUAACAAGGUAAC
rnacentral:rRNA from 1 species